CCCGCGAUGCUGUCAACGGCGCAUUACUAACUGUAGUAGAUACGGAUUUCACACUUUUUCACGAUCUCAAAUUCAGUAUUAUCAGUUUGCGGAGCGAGAUUGUCCGGAAUUCAACAUAAACAGGUAGCACACUCGAAUCUUUUGAAGACUUUCUUCACAAAUGGAAAGCGCAAUGUGAGUCUCAAAAUCGCUGUAGGAUAUCACUAAGUAAGUAAUAUUGAUCUUGAUAAACAUUUCCUGCUAUUCCACUUAAACACAUAAUUUUUGUUGUUUUACCAAGUUCUUUGAGUUUUCCAAAAAUGGCCUUGACCAGAUGUGAUUUUCCUGUCCCGGCCUGUCCUGUGAUAAACACAUUGUGUCCUUGUUCCACAGCUAUUAAAGCUUUUUGCUGUCCUUGUGUCAACCUUCAAAAUAACAUGCACACACA